CAGUAGCCGCGGGAAUACGUAGGGUGCAAGCGUUGUCCGGAAUUAUUGGGCGUAAAGAGCUCGUAGGCGGUUUGUCGCGUCUGCUGUGAAAUCCCGAGGCUCAACCUCGGGCUUGCAGUGGGUACGGGCAGACUAGAGUGCGGUAGGGGAGAUUGGAAUUCCUGGUGUAGCGGUGGAAUGCGCAGAUAUCAGGAGGAACACCGAUGGCGAAGGCAGAUCUCUGGGCCGUAACUGACGCUGAGGAGCGAAAGCGUGGGGAGCGAACAGGAUUAGAUACCCCGGUAGUCCCUGUCUCUUAUAC
rnacentral:rRNA from 1 species